CGGGGAUUAGCGCAGCGGUAGCGCGCGUCGUUCGGGACGACGAGGUCAGCAGUUCAAAUCUGCUAUCCCCGA
rnacentral:tRNA from 1 species